rnacentral:snRNA from 1 species
CUUCUCUUCGGCAGCACAUACACUAAAAUUGGAACGAUACACAGAAGAUUAGCAUGGGCCCUGCGCAAGGAUGACACGCAAAUUCGUGAAGUGUUCCAUAUUUCU